UGAGUAACACGUAUCCAACCUGCCGUCUACUCUUGGACAGCCUUCUGAAAGGAAGAUUAAUACAAGAUGGCAUCAUGAGUCCGCAUGUUCACAUGAUUAAAGGUAUUCCGGUAGACGAUGGGGAUGCGUUCCAUUAGAUAGUAGGCGGGGUAACGGCCCACCUAGUCUUCGAUGGAUAGGGGUUCUGAGAGGAAGGUCCCCCACAUUGGUACUGAGACACGGACCAA
rnacentral:rRNA from 1 species